AAAUACAGUGUAACCACUUUGGAAAAAAAAAACAUUACAAUAUAUCGUGUUUUUAUAUUCCUGAUAACUGUUACCGUGCUGAUAACAAAAUUAAAUUAAAAUAUUAUUUGAAGUUUGACAACGAUCAUUGUUGUUUAACGUCUCUUAGUGAUUUUAUUUUGAACAUUCAUCAUUUUAAAUAUUUAACUAUAAUUAAUAUUUAUUUACUGUACUGUUUAUUUGGUUGUUUAAUUUGGUCUAACCAUAAUGCCGAGUUGUUUUAUUUGUUCACGCACGAGAAAUGCUGAAUCAAAGAAAGGAAACAUAAGCUUUCAUCGAAUUUCCAAAAAAGAUGGUAUUAGUGAGCAGUGGUUAGAAUUUUUCAAAGAAUGCGGUAAAGAUAUUUCAACAAUCAAAUUCACAUCAGCUAUUUGUUCUGAACAUUUUAAACCUGAAGAUUUUAUGAACUAUCUCAGGAAUAAAACGUUACACGAGAAUGCCGCUCCCUCAAUUGUAGUUAACCGUUUAAAAUAUGCUAAAAAAAGCUGUUCCUGAAGGCUUGAGACAAUUGACAAAUCACAGUAAUAAUGGUGUUCAAGGAGUUUCACCAUUACCUGAUGGACCAUAAUUAGAGUUAGUGUAUAGUGAACCAUCUACUAGUAAUGAAACUUAUACUGUGAACAAACCAAAGACGGAUUCUAUUAAAUUAGUAGUUGAUUCUAUUUUGAGUCCUAAAGAUGAAGACACGCCUAGGAAAAAAUUGUUAAGAAAAUCUGUAGCUAUGUUGUCAAAAGAGAAUAAGAACAAGAGUAAUAAAAUAAAAAUAUUAUCUCAAAAAGUGAGGAGACAAGAGCAUCGAAUUGUUUCUCUCCGAGGUGUUAUUAAAGUUUUGAAAAAUAAAUCAUUGAUUUCUGAAGAGCAAGGUAUGUUAUUGGAUAGUAACUUUGGUAAACAGAGAUUUAAUCAAUAAUUUUUGCAAAAAAAAUGCUGGUAGAAAAGUUGCAAAAAAGUAUAGCUUGGAGCUUCGGAAAAUUGCUGUUACCUUAAACUUUUACUCGCCAAAAGCUUAUCAAUUUAUUAGAAGGGAAUUUAAUUCUGCACUGCCCUGUCCACGCACUUUAAGUAAGUGGUAUACACAUGUAAACGCUGAACCAGGUUUCACCAAAGAAGCACUGAACACUUUAGAAUUAUCUUGCAAAAAUACUCAAACGCCUAUUUACUGCGCUUUAAUGAUGGAUGAAAUAUCAGUUCGCAAACAUUUAGAUUUCAACAAUGAUAAAUACUUUGGUUUUGUUGACUUUGGAUCAGAAAUACAAAGUGAUUGUGUUGAUCAAGCUACAGAAUGUUUAGUAUUUAUGGUAGUUGCAAUAAAUUUUUCUUGGAAGCUACCAGUAGGUUAUUUUUUGUGCAAUCAUUUGAAUAG